UACGAAGGGGGGCUAGCGUUGCUCGGAAUCACUGGGCGUAAAGCGCACGUAGGCGGAUCGUUAAGUCAGGGGUGAAAUCCUGGAGCUCAACUCCAGAACUGCCUUUGAUACUGGCGAUCUUGAGUUCGAGAGAGGUGAGUGGAACUGCGAGUGUAGAGGUGAAAUUCGUAGAUAUUCGCAAGAACACCAGUGGCGAAGGCGGCUCACUGGCUCGAUACUGACGCUGAGGUGCGAAAGCGUGGGGAGCAAACAGG
rnacentral:rRNA from 1 species